rnacentral:tRNA from 1 species
GCGGACGUGGCGAAAUCGGUAUACGCAAAGGACUUAAAAUCCUUCGGUCUUAGACCUUGCGGGUUCAAGUCCCGCCGUCCGCACCA